ACUCCUACGGGAGGCAGCAGUGGGGAAUAUUGCACAAUGGGCGCAAGCCUGAUGCAGCCAUGCCGCGUGUAUGAAGAAGGCCUUCGGGUUGUAAAGUACUUUCAGCAGUGAGGAAGGUGGGUAUGUUUAANAGCAUACCAUUUUGACGUUAGCUGCAGAAGAAGCACCGGCUAACUCCGUGCCAGCAGCCGCGGUAAUACGGAGGGUGCAAGCGUUAAUCGGAAUUACU
rnacentral:rRNA from 1 species